rnacentral:rRNA from 1 species
AGCAGCCGCGGUAAUUCCAGCUCCAAUAGCGUAUAUUAAAGUUGUUGCAGUUAAAAAGCUCGUAGUUGAAUUUCGGAAUUUGUCGGUUGGUCGGGCUUCACUGUCCGCACUGGCCUGAUGGAUUCCUACCUUCUGAAUAACCAGCAUGCUAUUAAGUUAGUGCGUUGGGGAAGCAGAGCUAUUACCUUGAAAAAUUAGAGUGCUUAAAGCAGGCUUGUGCUUGAAUAGAUUAGCAUGGAAUAAUAAAAUAGGACGGCAUGGUUCUAUUUUGUUGGUUUCUAGGAUCACCGUAAUGAUUAAUAGGGAUAGUUGGGGGCAUUAGUAUUCAAUUGUCAGAGGUGAAAUUCUUGGAUUUAUUGAAGACUAACUUCUGCGAAAGCAUUUGCCAAGGAUGUUUUCAUUAAUCAAGAACGAAAGUUAGGGGAUCGAAGACGAUCAGAUACCGUCGUAGUCUUAACCAUAAACUAUGCCGACUAGGGAUCGGACGAUGUUAAUUUUUAAUGACUCGUUCGGUCG